rnacentral:lncRNA from 1 species
AAACGCUACCUCAUUCUUUAAAACACAUCAAAUCUAGAAUGACUGAGUUUUUUACCAUGACUCCUAAAGAUGAAGUUGAAUCUGAAUCUGCACUUGAUCACAUCCAAAUUCUCAUGUCAUCAUCCGCUCCCGCUGCUUUGGUAAUGCUCUACAUUUCUCCUCUCCAUGGUAACAAAGAUUGCGCUGAUAGUUCAAUUAGACAUUUUUUGAACUCCACUAAAAACGCUUUACCUAAGCACUUGCAUGCUCAAUGCGCCCCCAUCGUCUUAGAGUUUUGUAAACUGCUUAGGAAGUUUACCCCUGAGGAUACUUUAUAUUUAGCUUGUCGGAGUACUUUGGGUUCCUUGCUGGAGAAUUACGGUGGGUCUGGCAUUUUGCCAGGAGGCUCCAAAUAUGAUGAGAUUAGGGGUUUGGAUGUGAUACGGGAGAUAUUUCCUUUUGUUCGUGAGUUGGCUGCUAGGAUAUCUAGGGAUUUGAAUUCCAGUAUGGAGAUGGUGCUGAGCGUGGGGCCAUUGGUCAGCGAUGUUCGUGAUUUUACCGCGUUCUUGCACCCUCUGCGCAGGGCGAUUUUGGGUCAAGUGGGGUUUUCCAUUCCGAUUACAAUGCCUUUGCCGCAGCAGGAACAUGAUCGGUUGCAUGGGGAUCAGCUGGAUUCUAUUUAUGGAAUGUUCUGUGAUUUGUUGAUAAAAAUGGGUAAAUGCCUCGUUAGAGUGCAGGAACGCGUGAUUGCGAGAGCAAAUGGGGAAGGUGAAAUUAAUUAUUCUGGAUGGUCGCAGUAUCUGACGAUUUUGAGAGAAUUACAUGCCACAUCUAAAAUCUUUCAGGGCGCUGAAGAAGAGUUCUGGAAACUUCUGAGGAAUAGAAUAUCGCCAUUGGGUGAUCUGAUUCUUAGAUAUGCAAGGAGAAGUGAUGAUAAUAGGUGGCUUCUUGAGCAUAAGGACGUGACUACUUUUGAUUCCAGGAAGUAUCUGGUCAUGAUGAUGUUUCCCGAUGUAAAGGAAGACUAUGAGGAGCUGCAUGAGAUGCUUAUUGAUAGGUCUCAGUUGUUGGCAGAAUCAUUUGAGUAAAUAGCACGUGCGGAACCAGAGGCACUGCGUGGUGGUUUAUUUAUGGAAUUCAAAAAUGAGGAAGCUACUGGUCCCGGUGUUUUAAGGGAAUGGUUUUUCUUGGUAUGCCAAGCUUUAUUUAAUCCACAAAAUGCUCUUUUUGUGCCAUGCCCUAAUGACCGUAGAAGGUUCUAUCCUAAUCAUGGUAAGUUUCCGCUGGCUUUUGAUGCAUGCAUUUUUUAACUGGGUUCCAUUAAUGUUGUCUGUUUGCCCUUUUCCGGACUUAUAGUUACCCUAUUCUGCAUUGUAACGUGUAUGGAUAUUUGAAUAUUAUAUGCACAUUGAAUCUGGACUAUUAUUUAUUUGGCAAAUAGUUUUAAACUCUAAUAGAUACGACAACAUAAUAAAUGACAUGGUUGAAGACAUGUUGAUAUACUAGGUAGGAUGGUUUGGGUCAGUAUGCGUGCAUAUGUUGGGUAGUUUUACACAGCGCUCCUGCUGUGAUUUUACAUAUAUAGCUCUUUGGCUGAUAUUUCAUCCUAGUUACUCAUAGUGCCCUAUGUUCUAGAAAUUGCACUUAACUCUGACUUUAAGAUUCUUAUAAGUUGCCCUUUUUUUAAGAGGCUUAUAAGUUGCCCCUUACUGUUAAUUGGCCAUUUGUGAGGCAGCAGAAACUGAUGACAUCAUAAUCAAAUACCCCUCUGAAAUAUUAUUGUUAUUGUUAUUAUUAUUUUUUAACAGCUCUGUGCUGCCACGUGGCCGCUAAUAGAAUUUUUCAACCUUUAUCUGUGUGCAGAAUUCUUUUUCUUUUUCUUUCUAAGGUUUUGAUAAAUAUCUCAUCAUUUAGAAUGACAUGUCACCGCAUCACUGAAGCAACCUCAUUGCCCCCAUUAUCUUAAUUGGACCUUAAAUCAUGGAACUCUUUGAUCAUGUUCAUAACUAGUUAUCUCUCUCUUCAUAUCAAUCAGCAUCAACUAAGUUAGCCAUGGCCACCAAUUUUAAUUAAGUAUUAAUCGUGCUGUGGGUUACAAGAUUAGAGAGGAUAAGAGUAAAAAAUAUUGGUAUUUUUCUAUUUUCUUCUUCUUCUUCUUUAUCUUCUUUUUUGGGAGUGAAAUAAGUUGGGGGUAGGGAAGAAGGGCGAAGGUGGUGGAAGGGGGGCUUGUUAAUGGAGAUCUGACAGUGGGUAAUGGUGGAAGGGGCACGGUGGGUAAUCGCUGUUGUGAUUAAUAGGCUUGACCGAACUAAUUGUUACGAUUAAUGUAGACUCUAAUUAUAGAUGUUGUGGUAAAGAUGGAUGGUGAACAAAAAUUAUGGGGGCAGCACAGAUUAGAAUAGAGGUGAGGAGGGAAGGGUGAUCAGGGUUUUGAAGAGUGAGGGUAAAUUUGAAUCUCUGUAUCAGCUACUAGAAACUUUAGAAUGUGUUGUUAACAGAGGGUACGUCUCAUUAGAUCAAACCUCGAGGCUAGUAGUGUUAUAUUAAGUCAAUCCAACAUGUUUUGUGUAUAUAGUCAAUUGAAGAAAUCAGAAUUAUUACUAAAUUGGUUCUCUAUAGUUGGCAUGGCUACAGAUUAACAUCUCUGUACAUGUGCAUGUAAAAGAAAAUGUUUAUGGCCGAUGAUGCAGUACUUUUUACUUAUUUCACUUGGUGAUGGGUGGUAGUCAUGUUUUAGUAAGGGUGUAGAAAGUCAUAUAUUGGUGUCUUGAAGGGUUUUUGUAAUAAAAAUUCAAUCCAAUGUGUUUGAUGUAAAUUGUUGACUCGUGAGGCAGAAUUACUACUGAUAUUAGUAUCCCUUAUUUGGUUAGAGAUAUGAUAGGAAAAUGAGAAGGCUUCGACGAGGAUGUUUGUGAUGACACUGGUGAAAACUCUGUUGUCUUGAUUUGUUAAAAAAAUUAUGGUCUUUAUUUUUUACCAAGUCUUUGCUGGUGCUCUAGUUGUAGUAAUCCAUAGAAGCUAGGAAAUCGGAGGAAGUAUGACCAUGAUUAAAUAUUAAUUUGAAUGUCAUGAUCAUAAUAAGUUUGAGCUUUCAAAUGCAUGACCAUGAAUAAAUCCAACAAACUAACUUUUCGAGGAUUAUAAAAAUGAAACAUUAUUUAAGCUAAUAUUUUUCACAUUUGAUGAAUAUGUCUGUAAGUUCUUUGAGCUUGAUCUCAAUUGAAUGAUUUUUUUAUUUUCAAUAACUAAUGAGUUUCAAAAGUGAUUUUUCUAUAUUAUCCUUACCACAUUAUUGGUUAUCAUUAAAAUCAAGAUUUGUAAAACUGACUACGUAAACAAAAAAAGAUUGUUAAAAUGGUAAAACUUAAAAGAGAGUGGAAAGGAGGGACUCCCAAUCAUUGCUUUCUAGUGGAUUACUGUCACUACCCGCAUUAAUGACAUUAAAUCUUGGAUUCACGGUAACCAAAUCUUCCUAGAUACUCUUCAUUUCACUGCAUAUAUCCCAGAUUUUCAAUUAAAUAUACACCAAAAGCCACCUGUACAUUUCUCAUUAGUAUUGUACAGCCCAAAACUCUAAUUGCCUGUAUAUAUGUAUAUAGUUUCCGAUGAGAAAUGGCUUGCAGCAAAAUUAAAGAAACACCGAAAUGGGUAGCCUGUCGAGUGCUAUAACCGCCAAUCUUUCAACUUUCCCUCAUGUCUCAGCUAAUUUACCUACCGAUAUAAUCACCGAUAUCUUCACUAGACUCCCCGUCAAGUCUCUUAUUCGAUUCAAAUGUGUGUCAAAAUCCAUGUAUGCACUUGUUCACAAUAAAAUAUUCAUUAAGAAACAUGUCAACAGAGCAAUUCAUCAGUCCGACCCAAAACUCAUCCUGAAGAAUGAAUUCAAGCUUUUUGGUGUCGAGAUAAUCAAUGAUAAAAAAUUAAUCAGAGCUCGAAAACUCCAAGUACCCUUCGCCUUGUCUCUCGAAAAAGUUGAGAUUUCAGGUUCUUGCAAUGGCCUGCUUUGCAUCUCCGAUCAAAGCUGCAAUGAAGAUAUAUUUCUUUUCAAUCCCUCAACAAAAAAGUACAAAAAGCUUCCAGUGCCAGAAUUUGAUGUUCCCACAAUCGAAACUACAUGUUUCACUUCAUUGGGGUUUGGUUACCAUCAAGCAGAUGAUGAUUACAAGGUGAUAAGAUCCAUAUACCUUUAUGACAAGCCUUUUGUUGACAUCGACUCCUAUGAAUGCGAAGCUAGGGUUUAUUCUCUGGCUAGCGAUAAAUGGAAGAAGAUUAAUGGAGGCAUCCCAUAUCAUAUCAGCUCUCGAGCUGCGGUGUGCUUCAAUGAAUGUCUUAUAUGGAAAGCGUCGCGAGGGCUCGGAAGAGGGAUGACUGUUCUCGUUGUUGCUUUUGACAUGAACAGAGAAGAGUUCAAGGAGAUUCACCGCCCGGAAUACAAGGAUUCUCAUGACAAGUGUCAGAUUGAAGUGGGUGUGUUUCGCGGAGAAUUUGCCAUGUUUCAUAUGUGGAGAGAGGAUAGAGUUGAGAUUUGGACGAUGAAGGAUUUUGGCGCGAGGGAGUCUUGGACGAGGAUGUUUGUGAUCGGACGUCGAGCUUUGAUUAAUUUUGAUAAUUAUGCUUUUGUGCACUUGAAGCCUGUCUGUGAGAUGAUGAAUUUGAGUAAUGGCAAUGGCAAGAAUUUUCUACUCAUUGAGAAGGGGGAUGGUGAGUUGAUUUUGUAUGAUUUUGAGAAUGAGAUUGCUACGGAUUUCAAAAUCCAAAGAGCCCCAAGAUGGUUUUCUGUUACCACCUUUGUUGAAAGCUUGGUUUCACCGUAAUAAUAUUCUCCCGUCGUUGCUACUUAGUAAGUAAUAUUGCUAGUAAAUUUAAGUUUUUGAAUUAAAUUUUUACAGUUGUUUGUUUCUGUUGAUAAUAAUAAACAAAGCACAAAUAACGAUGAUGAUACAUAUAUAUAUAUAUAUUGGCUUUAUAUACCGUUAUAUCUUCGUGAGUGACGCCGCUCUAAUUUCGCCAUCAAUGAUUCACUGUAGUGCUGCUUAAAUACCACUCUCAGAAAAUCACAACUGAAAUGAAAAGCCGCCAUCUUCUGCUUCAUCUUCUCCUUGUGUUUUAAAUUCUUAGGUUGCGGGCCUAAGUUCCUAGGGCCCCAGAUAAGGGCCGAGCUAAUCACAUACCGGCCCAUUUGUCUCCUCUAUCCAAAAAUUGACAGUUUUGUUUGUUGUUUUGAGUACUUACAUGGAAUGGAAUGGAAUGUCAAUGAAGGAUAGUCACUCACCGAAAACCAACUGGACGGAUAAGCAAGCAUUAAUAUAAAUCGCAUAUCUGAAAAAUCCAAUUAAUUAAUCUAAUCGAUCCGUGGUGUAAACAACCGAUUAAAAGUUUUAAUCGUAAUUUUCUCCCACCUUUAUUAAUUACUACUAUGUAUAUGUACAAAAGUCGGCGGAUAUUUACGGAAAAUGAACCGAAAUAUUCGCACGCGGCACGCGUCACGAGCGUGGUUGGAUUUGGAUUUUCCCAUACAUAAAAAUUAAAAGCAAUGCAUAUAAUAUAGGGGUCGUCAAUCAUCCAUCGACAAUUUCAUUCAUUGUCAGUUGACUGACUCAGCUGUAUAAAUUACGGGGCCGAAAUCAUCAAUCAAGAUUUUAUCAACAUCGAUCGAUGAUCGUAUAAAUAUAUAGCCAUCAUCAUGACUCAAUUUGGGAACGAGAAUAGUAAGUUUCCAAAUAGAAAUUGGCCAAUUGUUUGUGAGUUGUGAGUUGACUUGCAAAGCUGUCGAUCUCAUGUCACACGAUAAUCAUUUUCACACUAUCGGAUAACAUCCAAAAUAAUUCGAUUGCUACAAAAAAUAAAAAAGAAUUUACAAAUAUAAAUUCCUUUAGGACUCAUUCCGAGACCAUAUAUAAAGUACUCCAUAGAAGAUGAAAGAUAUUGACAUUAGUUUCCUCAUGGUUUGAACAUUUCAACUAUGAACAUAUUAUAUUUUACUUCAAAACCGUAACAGAUUACAGUUUUUUUUUUUUUUCCGUUUGCGUGUAGAGAGAAAAAAUAAAAAUAAAUUAAGAGUCACACUAGACUUAUAGCCUUAAAAAUAUAAAAUUCAUUCAAAAAAAAGGUAGUAAUUUAUUCUAAAAUAAUAAAAUCAAUAGAAGUUAAGCGCUCAUCCUUUAAUUAAGAAAACUUAAGGAGCAGGUUUAGAAUGUUUGUUUGUUUAAUUGAAAUCGAUUGAUGAUCCGGCUAAUAAAGAAGGAAUCUCCCAUAAAAUCUUUUCCCCAUAAAAGCGAUUUCAAACACGUGGUUAAAAUGCAUGGCGUGGGAGUGUCACGAGAAUCUCAUGUGAUGUGAGCGCGCACACACAGAAGCAGGGCUGAGGGCUGUAAACUUUUUAUUUUUUUAUUUUUUUUGGGUUUAAUUUAGUUAUAAAAAUUGGAAUAAAAUAAUUAUAAUAGCGUAAGAUGCCAGUGUUCGGUGGUGACGGCUGUGGUGUUGUGAAGGGGUAUGUGUAAGUCUCACAGCUAAAAAUUCUCAUCAAUUUCACUCCCAAUCGCUCUUCGUGUUCAUCAAGAACAAACAAAUCAUAAUACCAUCUAUUUUCUUUUUCCUUUUUUUUUCCCUCAAAUUUACUAUAUAAACAAAGACUGAUACAGACUCACUGACCGAGCCAAAAAAAAGAAAAAAUAAAAAUGAAAACUGCUUUACUACUUAUUAGCUGCUAGGGUUCUUGUUUUUCUAAUUUCUAUUUUUGGAGUUUUCAAUUUAAUAGUUAUCUUCUCCUUCAGCUGCUGCCUCGGCAUUUAACGAUCACAUGCUCUUACCCCCACCGUAAGCGGCGGGGGCCCCACUCUUCAAUGUCUCCUGUUGAAUCGUUUGAUCACUCUCACUUCUCCGUUCACUCGCGUCCGAAACGUAAGUUGGACGAUUUUGCCCCUAACUUAGACGGCGACGAUGACGACGGCGCAGAAACAUCCGACCUUGUUUCUGUAAGAAUGCGGAAAGACGAACCUGACGCCGUCCACCACCAGCAGUCGUCAGACUUGAUGACAAAAAACGACGCCGUUCUCUCAGAAAUUACUCCUCCUGCCGCUGCCGCUCCUCCUCCUCCUCCUCGGCCAAGGCUCCAGUUUUUUAUACGCAUGAUGUCUGAGGGGAAGACGAUGGUCAUCCAAGCCGACUCGAACGACACCGUCAAAUCAAUCCAUGAAAGAAUCCAAGCGAUGACGGGGAUACCGUUGAUCGAGCAACGGUUAAUUUACCGGGGGAAGCAGUUACAGUGGGAACAGUCCUUAGCUGAGUGUUGCAUCCAAAACGACGCCGGCCUGCAACUGGUUGGCCGCAUGCGAAGCACGGGACAUCCUCAAGCCUGGCAAGUCAUUGACGACAUGGUUUCCCUUAUUUGCCGCUUAUGCAAAGGUGAAACGCUACCUCAUUCUUUAAAACACAUCAAAUCUAGAAUGACUGAGUUUUUUACCAUGACUCCUAAAGAUGAAGUUGAAUCUGAAUCUGCACUUGAUCACAUCCAAAUUCUCAUGUCAUCAUCCGCUCCCGCUGCUUUGGUAAUGCUCUACAUUUCUCCUCUCCAUGGUAACAAAGAUUGCGCUGAUAGUUCAAUUAGACAUUUUUUGAACUCCACUAAAAACGCUUUACCUAAGCACUUGCAUGCUCAAUGCGCCCCCAUCGUCUUAGAGUUUUGUAAACUGCUUAGGAAGUUUACCCCUGAGGAUACUUUAUAUUUAGCUUGUCGGAGUACUUUGGGUUCCUUGCUGGAGAAUUACGGUGGGUCUGGCAUUUUGCCAGGAGGCUCCAAAUAUGAUGAGAUUAGGGGUUUGGAUGUGAUACGGGAGAUAUUUCCUUUUGUUCGUGAGUUGGCUG